AUCACUUCUUGGCCUUCUGGCUAAGAUCAAGUAUAGUUUCUGUUCUUAUCAGUUUAAUAUCCGACAUCCUCUACCGAAGGACAGUGUAUAAAGUGGAUUUUUGGAGCAGGGAGAUGGACUAGGAGCUUGCUCUGGCCACUCCUUGCAUCGACCUCCUGAUACUGCAGUGCCUCCAGAAACAGUGCACACACA
ensembl:snRNA U2 U2 spliceosomal RNA